CUUCACACACGCAAGUUCGGAACGGCAGCACAGAGAAGUCUCUCUUCUCGGGCGGCGAGCGGCGAAACGGGCGAGUAACAUCAUUCGGAGACGUCACUCGAGCAGUCGGGGGAUAAACUAAUCGAAAAGAUUAAGCUAAUAACCGCAUAAUUUUCUGAGGAAGAAAGCAGGGGACCAUUCUCGGCUCUUCGCGCCGUUUCGAGCGGCCGAUAUUCUGAUAAGCUAGUUCGGUGGGGUAAAAGGCCUACCAAGGCGAACGAUCAGUAGCGGGUUCUGAGAGGAACGAUCCGCUCACACCGGGAACUGAGAACACGGCCCAGAACUCCUACGGGAGGCAGCAGUGGGGAAAUUUCGGAACAAUGGGCGCAAGCCUGAAUCCAGCCAUGCUCCGUGUCUGAAAAAAGGCCUUCGGGUUGUAAAGGAACUUUUGUCAGGGAAAGAAAAAGGGCGGGGUUAAUACCCCUGUCUGAAGACGGUACCUUGAAAAAUAAGCACCGGCUAACUACGUGCCAGCAGCCGCGGUAAUACGUAGGGUGCGAGCGUAAUCGGGAAUUACUGGGCGUAAAGCGGGCGCAGACGGUUACUUAAGCAGGAUGUUGAAAUCCCCGGGCUCAACCUGGGAACUGCGUUCUGAACUGGGUUGACUAGAGUGCGUCAGAGGGAGGUAGAAUUCCACGUGUAGCAGUGAAAUGCGUAGAGAUGUGGAGGAAUACCGAUGGCGAAGGCAGCCUCCUGGGAUAACACUGACGUUCAUGCCCGAAAGCGUGGGUAGCAAACAGGAUUAGAUACCCUGGUAGUCCACGCCCUAAACGAUGUCGAUUAGCUGUUGGGCAGCAUGACUGCUUAGUAGCGAAGCUAACGCGUGAAAUCGACCGCCUGGGGAGUACGGUCGCAAGAUUAAAAACUCAAAAGGAAAUUGACGGGGACCCGCACAAGCGGUGGAUGAUGUGGAUUAAUUCGAUGCAAACGCGAAGAACCUUACCUGGUCUUGACAUGUACGGAAACCCUCCAGAGACGGAGGGGUGCCUUCGGGAGCCGUAACACAGGUGCUGCAUGGCUGUCGUCAGCUCGUGUCGUGAGAUGUUGGGUUAAGUCCCGCAACGAGCGCAACCCUUGUCAUUAGUUGCCAUCAUUAAGUUGGGCGACUCUAAUGAGACUGCCGGUGACGAAGCCGGAGGAAGGUGGGGAUGACGUCGAAGUCCUCAUGGCCCUUAUGAACCGAGGGCUUCACACGUCGAUACGAUGGUCGGUACAGAGGGUAGCCGAAGCCGCGAGGUGGAGCCGAUUCUCGACGAAAACCGGUUCGUGAGUUCCGGAUUGCGCUCUGCGAACUCGAGUGCGUGAAAGUUCGGAAUUCGCGAGUGAUUCGGCGGGUUCGGCUGACUGCGGUGAAGACGUUUCCCGGGUCUU
rnacentral:rRNA from 1 species